AACGAACGCUGGCGGCAUGCCUAACACAUGCAAGUCGAACGAGACCUUCGGGUCUAGUGGCGCACGGGUGCGUAACGCGUGGGAACCUGCCCUUAGGUUCGGAAUACCUCCCCGAAAGGGGUGCUAAUACCGGAUAAUGUCUUCGGACCAAAGAUUUAUCGCCUUUGGAUGGGCCCGCGUUGGAUUCGCUAGUUGGUAGGGUAAAAGCCUACCAAGGCGACGAUCCAUAGCUGGUCUGAGAGGCUGAUCAGCCACACUGGGACUGAGACACGGCCCCGACUCCUACGGGAGGGAGCAGUGGGUGAUAUUGGACCACGGGCUAAAGCCUGAUCCAGCCAUGCCGCGUGAGUGAUGAAGGCCUUAGGGUUGUAAAGCUCUUUUACCCGGGAUGAUAAUGACAGUACCGGGAGAAUAAGCUCCGGCUAACUCCGUG
rnacentral:rRNA from 1 species